GACGAGUGGCGGACGGGUGAGUAAUGUCUGGGAAACUGCCUGAUGGAGGGGGAUAACUACUGGAAACGGUAGCUAAUACCGCAUAACGUCGCAAGACCAAAGAGGGGGACCUUCGGGCCUCUUGCCAUCGGAUGUGCCCAGAUGGGAUUAGCUAGUAGGUGGGGUAACGGCUCACCUAGGCGACGAUCCCUAGCUGGUCUGAGAGGAUGACCAGCCACACUGGAACUGAGACACGGUCCAGACUCCUACGGGAGGCAGCAGUGGGGAAUAUUGCACAAUGGGCGCAAGCCUGAUGCAGCCAUGCCGCGUGUAUGAAGAAGGCCUUCGGGUUGUAAGGUACUUUCAGCGGGGAGGAAGGGAGUAAAGUUAAUACCUUUGCUCAUUGACGUUACCCGCAGAAGAAGCACCGGCUAACUCCGUGCCAGCAGCCGCGGUAAUACGGAGGGUGCAAGCGUUAAUCGGAAUUACUGGGCGUAAAGCGCACGCAGGCGGUUUGUUAAGUCAGAUGUGAAAUCCCCGGGCUCAACCUGGGAACUGCAUCUGAUACUGGCAAGCUUGAGUCUCGUAGAGGGGGGUAGAAUUCCAGGUGUAGCGGUGAAAUGCGUAGAGAUCUGGAGGAAUACCGGUGGCGAAGG
rnacentral:rRNA from 1 species